GGGGGCGGGGCGGCGGCGGCGGCGGCCGGGGAGGGUCAGUUGGAGGCAGGCGCUCGCUGAGGCAGGAGGAGGCGCUCGGCCCGCGGCCUGACAGGGACUUAGCCCGCAGAGAUCGACCCCGCGCGCGCGACCCCACACCCACCCACUUAUCCACCUAUCCACUCCCUGCGCCGCCUCCUCCCACCCUGAGCAGAGCCGCCGAGGAUGAUAAACACCCAGGACAGGCUGGAAUACAGUGCACAAUAUUGGCUCACUGCAACCUCUGCCUCCCAGGUUCAAGUGGUUCUCCUGCGUCAGCCUCCUGAGUAGCUGAGUCUACAGGAAAUGAGCUGCAUCUCAGCCUAAGGAACCACUAAAUUGGAUUCAAAGAAGACAGUUGAGCAGAUCUACAGCCCUGUUGGGUCCAUCUGAAAAUCAAGGUGGCCAAUAAGUAUUUUGCCUUUGAGUAACUGUCCCCAGCUCCAGUGCUGCAGGCACAUUGUUCCGGGGCCUCUGUGGUGCUCCUGAUGCCCCUCACCCACUGUCGAAGAUCCCCGGUGGGCGAGGGGGCGGCAGGGAUCCUUCUCUCUCAGCUCUAAUAUAUAAGGACGAGAAGCUCACUGUGACCCAGGACCUCCCUGUGAAUGAUGGAAAACCUCACAUUAUCCACUUCCAGUAUGAGGUCACCGAGGUGAAGGUCUCUUCUUGGGAUGCAGUCCUGUCCAGCCAGAGCCUGUUUGUAGAAAUCCCAGAUGGAUUAUUAGCUGAUGGGAGCAAAGAAGGAUUGUUAGCACUGCUAGAGUUUGCUGAAGAAAAGAUGAAACUGAACUACGUCUUCAUCUGCUUCAGGAAGGGCCGAGAAGACAGAGCUCCACUCCUGAAGACCUUCAGCUUCUUGGGCUUUGAGAUUGUACGUCCAGGCCAUCCCUGUGUUCCCUCUCAGCCAGAUGUGAUGUUCAUGGUUUAUCCCCUGGACCACAACUUGUCCGAUGAGGACUAAUGGUCAUAGAGGAUGCUUUGCCCAAGAGCCACAGUGGGGGAACAGGGGAAGUUAGGCAGCCCUGGGACAGAGGAGAGGGCUCCUUGCUGUCUAGGGAAGGACACUGAGGAGCUCAGGGUAAGGGUUGCCUAUUGUGUUCUGGGAGUUGACUCGUUGAAAUUGUUUUCCAUAAAGAACAGUAUAAACAUAUUAUUCACAUGUAAUCACCAAUAGUAAAUGAAGAUGUUUAUGAACUGGCAUUAGAAGCUUUUUAAACUGCGCUGUGUGAUGUGCUCUAUCUAGCCUAGGGGAGGACAUUGCCUAGAGGGGGAGGGACUGUCUGGGUUCAGGGGAAUGGCCUGGAGGGCUGGUGGGCAGCACUGUCAGGCUCAGGUUUCCCUGCUGUUGGCUUUCUGUUUUGGUUAUUAAGACUUGCGCAUUUUCUUUCCUUGCUUCCUGUCACCCCAGGGGCUCCUGAGUAUAGGCUUUUCAUCCCUGGGCAGUGUCCUUGAGUUGUUUUGACACUCUUACCUGGCCUUCUCUGUGUGCGUUUGUGUCUGGCCUGGAGUAAGCAGGUCCGACCCCUCCUUCUCUACAGUUUAGUGUUAUUCUGGCAUUUGGUUAAGCUGGCUUAAUCUGUUUAAUGUUAUCAGUACAUUUUAAAUAGGGGCACUGAAGUUUACUCCCACCACCACCAGGGCUUUUUUGGGGGGUGCCUGGGCCUUAAAAAACACUAGCCAAACUCGAAUUCUCAAAUCACUGCCGGGAGUUCUUGCUCCUGGCUGCAGGCCCAGGCCCCAAGGUCUCCUUCCUGGGGUCACAAAGAGCAGUAAGAAAGAGGAAUAUAUUAGCAACUCAGGGCCUGGGAAUUGUGGGGAAAUUUGUUCUUAGGGACUGGUUGUUUCUGGCUGGCUGAGUAUAGUGCUAACUGCCUCCCCAGCAGGUUCUGAGUAGUGCCUGAGACCCUGCUCUGCAGGGCCUAGGGUAGUGCUGGGAGUGCAGAAGUGGCCUGCCCUUAACUGUUUUCACUGAACAGCUUGUUUUAAGGGGAGAGGAAGGGGAGAAAUCUAGACUGGAUGAGGGGAAUGGGGAUGUCAGGGAGGCAAGUGUGUUGUGUUACUGUGUCAAUAAACUGAUUUAAAGUUG